GGCUGGUCCCAGUGCAGGGAGGUGCACAACUAAUUGAUCAUAACCAAUUACAGAUCUCUUUGUUCUUUCGCCAUUCCCACUGUUCUACUUGAUUAGCCUGAA
rnacentral:Y_RNA from 1 species